CAGUCGUACCUAUGGGUAAUCAGCCUUUUGGGUGUGAUUUUGUGGAGCGUGAGGAGUUUAACGCCUUCAUGCCUGCAUAUUCGUGCACUUUGGGUGUACUAGCCCGUAUGGUUGGUUAACAUCAAUUUUGGUGGUCAUAAAAUGACUGAAAAACCUAAACAAGCCCAACCACGUCUAACAUAUGUGCGAGUGUUU
rnacentral:rRNA from 1 species